UACAGAGGGUGCAAGCGUUAAUCGGAAUUACUGGGCGUAAAGGGCGCGUAGGCGGUUUUAUAAGUUAGAGGUGAAAUCCCCGGGCUUAACCUGGGAACUGCCUUUAAGACUGUAAGACUAGAGUAGAGUAGAGGGGAGUGGAAUUUCCGGUGUAGCGGUGAAAUGCGUAGAUAUCGGAAAGAACACCAGUGGCGAAGGCGGCUCCCUGGGCUCAUACUGACGUUGAGGCGCGAAAGCGUGGGUAGCAAAC
rnacentral:rRNA from 1 species